AACAGAUGUAACGUAUGUUUGAUUGAUUUUUUUCAAUUUCUUCUUCAUUUUUGCUUUGAAAGGCCUUUCGUUCUCGAGCACAAUCGAAGAGCUUUGAGAAGAAGACGGAUGGAAUGAUUUUGGUGGGUGGGUGGUGGCAAAACAGCUAGUAUACAACGACGACGAUGAUCCGAUCAUCAUCUUUUGCCCUCCUCCUCCUCCUUCCUCCUCCUUCGUCGAUGAGAACAAAAAAAGAAUAAACUGGAAUAUUAUUCG
rnacentral:ribozyme from 14 species